GACGAACGCUGGCGGCGUGCUUAACACAUGCAAGUCGAACGGAAAGGCCCUGCUUUUGUGGGGUGCUCGAGUGGCGAACGGGUGAGUAACACGUGAGUAACCUGCCCUUGACUUUGGGAUAACUUCAGGAAACUGGGGCUAAUACCGGAUAGGAGCUCCUGCUGCAUGGUGGGGGUUGGAAAGUUUCGGCGGUUGGGGAUGGACUCGCGGCUUAUCAGCUUGUUGGUGGGGUAGUGGCUUACCAAGGCUUUGACGGGUAGCCGGCCUGAGAGGGUGACCGUCCAGAUUGGGACGGAGAUAGCGCCCAUACUCCUACGGGAGGCAGCAGUGGAGAAUAUUGCACGAUGGGCGGAAGCCUGAUGCAGCAACGCCGCGUGCGGUAGUACGGCCUUCGGGUUGUAAACCUCUUUCGCCUGUGACGAAGCGUGAGUGACGGUAAUGGGUAAAGAAGAACCGGCUAACUACGUG
rnacentral:rRNA from 1 species